UACGUAGGGGGCAAGCGUUGUCCGGAUUUAUUGGGCGUAAAGCGCGCGUAGGCGGUCUAUUAAGUCCGAUGUGAAAACUCCCGGCUCAACUGGGAGACUGCAUUGGAAACUGGUAGGCUAGAGUGCAGGAGAGGGAAGUGGAAUUCCAAGUGUAGCGGUGAAAUGCGCAGAUAUUUGGAAGAACACCAGUGGCGAAGGCGGCUUCCUGGACUGCGACUGACGCUGAGGCGCGAAAGCUAGGGGAGCGAACAGGAUUAGAUACCCGUGUAGU
rnacentral:rRNA from 1 species